rnacentral:rRNA from 1 species
GAUGAACGCUGGCGGCGUGCCUAAUACAUGCAAGUCGAGCGCGAGAAUGAGGAGCUUGCUCCUCAUGAUCGAGCGGCGGACGGGUGAGUAACACAUAGGCAACCUACCCUUGAGAUUGGGAUAACUACCGGAAACGGUAGCUAAUACCGGAUACGACUUUUCCACAUAAGUGGAAUUGUUAAAAGGCGGAUUUAUCUGCCGCUCAUGGAUGGGCCUGCGGUGCAUUAGCUAGUUGGUGAGGUAGUGGCUCACCAAGGCGACGAUGCAUAGCCGACCUGAGAGGGUGAUCGGCCAAGCUGGGACUGAGACACGGCCCAGACUCCUACGGGAGGCAGCAGUAGGGAAUCGUCCGCAAUGGACGCAAGUCUGACGGAGCAACGCCGCGUGAGUGAUGAAGGGUUUCGGCUCGUAAAACUCUGUUGUUAAGGAAGAACACUUGAGGUAGUAACUGGCCUUGAGAUGACGGUACUUAACCAGAAAGCCACGGCUAACUACGUGCCAGCCGCCGCCGUAA